rnacentral:rRNA from 1 species
CACGUAGGGUGCGAGCGUUUGUCCGGAAUUAUUGGGCGUAAAGAGCUCGUAGGCGGUGUGUCGCGUCGGCCGUGAAAACUUGGGGCUUAACUCUGAGCGUGCGGUCGAUACGGGCAUCACUUGAGUUCGGCAGGGGAGACUGGAAUUCCUGGUGUAGCGGUGAAAUGCGCAGAUAUCAGGAGGAACACCGGUGGCGAAGGCGGGUCUCUGGGCCGAUACUGACGCUGAGGAGCGAAAGCAUGGGGAGCGAACAGG